rnacentral:ncRNA from 1 species
CUGAGUUUGCGUGAGGGAUAGAGGCGUUAUCCUUUUGUGAAGAGAAACGGAACAAAAGAUAGAGCCGAAAGCCCGACCCUUG